GAGAGCAGUUAGAGGCCAUGGUCACUGGGGUGGGUGGCUUUCUUCUUUCCUCGGUGGGACACAAAAGUCAGGGUUGGAUUCAACGUGAGGGGAUUGUGGGGAGGCAGCCCAGGCAUGAAUCUCAGCUCCAUCCUUUGGUGUUCUGUGCCAAUUUCAUCACCUGUAAAAAUAGAAAGAACAGCGCCUGUUUUCCUCCAUCUGCCAGGUCACUGUGGGCAUAAACUGAGACAGUGGAUUGAGGUGGCUUUGCAAGCUGCAAAGCUAAGUAAACACCAACGCUCUUUAUAAGAAGGAAGCAAAGGCCAAACAAUUGCUUUAGCUAUGCUGCCUUUUUAUUCAGGUCUUCUCUGAUCACUGUAGAGAAAGUGGGAUGCUCCCAUUCCUGCCUGCCCUCUCUCUAUUAAUUUACCUAAUUUCAUCAUUCUUCAUAGUACUUCUUAACACCUGAAGCUGUUGUAUAUUGAUUUGUUAGCUUACUCAUUGUAUGUCUGUUCCAGUAAAAUAUUAGCUUCAAGAGCACAAGAACUUAGUCUAUCUUGCUCACUCCCUCAUCUAUGGGCACAGAACUGUACUUGGCAUGUUGAAAGUUCUCUCUGGGCCAGGCGUGGUGGCUCACCACUGUAAUACCAGCACUUUGGGAGGCUGAGGCAGGUGGAUCACGAGGUCAGGAGAUGGAGACCAUCCUGGCCAACAUGGUGAAACCCCGUCUCUACUAAAAAUACAAAAAUUAGCUGGGCAUGGUGGUGUGUGCCUGUAAUCCCAGCUACAUGGGAGGCUGAGGCAGGAGAAUUGCUUGAACCCAGGAGGCAGAGGUCACAGUGAGCUGAGAUCACAUCACUGCACUCCAGUCUGGUGAUAGAGUGAGAUUCUAUCUCAAAGAGAAAAAAAAAGAAAAAAGAAAAGAAAAGAAAAAAGAAAAAAAGAAAGUUCUCUCUGAGUAUGGGUUGAAUGAGUGAGUGAAGAAAUAAGUGGAUGAGGGAAUAAAUGAAUGAGUGAGUGACUGACUGAAUUAGUGGGUAAAUGACUGGAUGAGUUAGUAAAUGAGUGAGUGGAUGAGUGAAUAAAUGAGUGGGUAAAUGAGUAGAUGAAUAAAUACAUGAGUGGGUCAGUGAAUGAAUAAAUGAGUAAAUGAGUGGAUGAGUGAAUAAGUGAAUGAGUGAUUGAGUGAGUGAACAACUGGAUGAGUAAAUAAAUGAACGAGUGAUUAAAUGAGUGAAUGAGUGAACAAAUGAGUGAGUAAAUGAAUCAGUGAAUAAAUGAGUGGAUGAAUGAAUAAGUAAAUGAAUGAUUGAGCGAGUGAACAAGUGGGUAGAUGAGUGGAUGAGAAAUAAGUGAAUGAGUGGAUAAAUGAAUAAAUAAAUGAGUGUGUUAAUGAAUGGAUGAAUGGGUAAAUCAGUGGAUAAGUGAAUAAAUGAAUUAGCAAGUGAAUGAAUGAAUGAGUAAAUGAGUGGAUGAGGGAAUAAAUGAGUGAGUGAAUGAGUGGAUGAGUGAAUAAGUGAAUGAGUGAUUGAACAAAUGUAUGAGUAAAUGAGUGGAUAUGUGAAUAAAUGAGUGAGUGAGUGAAUUAAUAAAUGGGUAAAUGAGUGAUGUGUGAAUGAAUAAGUAAAUGAGUGGAUGAGUGAAUAAGUGAAUGAAUGAGUGAAUGGGUGGAUAAGUGAAUAAAUGAGUGAGUGAGUGAAUUGAGUGGGUAAAUGAAUAAAAAAUGAGUAAAUUAGUGGAUGAAUGAAUAACAAAUGAAUGAUUGAGUGAGAGAAUGAGUGGACAAAUGAAUAAAUGAAUGUGUGGAUGAAUGGAUGAGUGAGUGAAUGAAUGAGUGAGUGGGUCAGUGAAUGAACGAAUGAGUAAAUGCAACUGCAGCCAGGCAGGGAGGAGCACGCAAUAGUUCCAGGAAGGAGGAGCUGGCAUGAACUAGAAGAUUCCACAGAGGGAGGCAGCCACACACCUGCCGCCCAAUAAGGCUGGGGCCAAAGUAAAGAACCCCCAGGCUGUGCCAAGGAGGGAGGAUGCCCAAUCUCCCCUGAAAGCCACAGAAGUGGCAAGUGGAUGAGUGAAUAAGUGAAGGAGUCACUGACACAGUGAAUGAGUGGAUAAGUUAAUAGAUCAAUGAGUGACUGAGUCAAGCAGAUGAGUAAAUAAGUGAAGGAGUGAGUGAGUGAACGAGUGAAUGAGUGAAUAGAUGAAUGAGUGACUGAGUGAGUGAACAAGUGAAUGAGUAAAUAAGUGAAUGAGUGACUGAGUGAACAAGUGGAUGAGUGAAUAGAUGAAUGAGUGAGUGAACGAGUGGAUGAGUGAAUGGAUGAAUGAGUGACUGAGUGAGUGAAUAAGUGAAUGAAUUACUGAGUGAAGGAGUGGAUGAAUGACUAGAUGAAUGAGUGAGUGAGUGAACGAGUGGAUGAGUAAAUAGAUGAAUGAGUGACUGAAUGAGUGAACGAGUGAAUGAGUAAAUAAGUGAAUGAGUGAGUGAGUGAAUGAAUGGGUGAGUGAAUAGAUGAAUGAGUGAGUGAGUGAAGGAGUGAGUGAAUAGAUGAGCAAAUAGAUGAAUGAGUGACUGAGUGAGUGAAUGAGUGACUGAGUGAGUGAAUGAGUAAAUAAGCGAAUGAGUGAGUGAGUGAAUGAGUGGAUGAAUAGACGAAUGAGUGAGUGAGGGAUGAGUGAAUAGAUGAAUGA
rnacentral:lncRNA from 1 species